rnacentral:rRNA from 1 species
GACGAACGCUGGCGGCGUGCCUAAUACAUGCAAGUCGAGCGAAGUUUUUCUGGUGCUUGCACCGGAAAAACUUAGCGGCGAACGGGUGAGUAACACGUAAAGAACCUGCCCCAUAGACUGGGACAACUAUUGGAAACGAUAGCUAAUACCGGAUAACAGCAUUAACUGCAUGGUUGAUGUUUAAAAGUUGGUUUUGCUAACACUAUGAGAUGGCUUUGCGGUGCAUUAGCUAGUUGGUGGGGUAAAGGCCUACCAAGGCGACGAUGCAUAGCCGACCUGAGAGGGUGAUCGGCCACACUGGGUCUGAGACACGGCCCAGACUCCUACGGGAGGCAGCAGUAGGGAAUCUUCCGCAAUGGGCGAAAGCCUGACGGAGCAACGCCGCGUGAGUGAAGAAGGAUUUCGGUUCGUAAAGCUCUGUUGUUAGGGAAGAAUGAUUGUGUAGUAACGAUACACAGUAGAGACGGUACCUAACCAGAAAGCCACGGCUAACUACGUG